rnacentral:pre_miRNA from 3 species
ACAUACUUCUUUAUGUACCCAUAUGAACAUAUAAUGCUAUGGAAUGUAAAGAAGUAUGUAU